CAUCACGGGGAGGCCCCCCUUUGCCACUGUGACAUCACAGUGAGGUGUCCCCACUGCCCAUGUCUGUCUGUCCCAGGACAUGUGGACAUUUCCCUACAGUUGCCAGGUGGUGUCCGAGAAUCCAUCAGAAGGGGCUGUUUUUGUGCAGUCCAACAGGGAAUAGCCUAAGAUGGAAGGAAUUCUGGUUUUGUGGCAUUGCACCUUUCCAUGAUUCCUGUGUUUGGCCUCCUUGCUUCCUAACUGCUGGCAGCACAGCAAAGUGUAUUCGAGGUCUGUGGUGAUGUAGGUUUGUCCUCAAGGGCAAAAGAGAGGAACUUUCCUAGCCUGUUUCACCCAGGCCACCAACAUGUCCUGGCAAUUUUAACAGACUGACCUCGAACUCCCUUUGUCCCGUACAUGGUUGUUUCCAUCCCCAGGACUGCACACAAGGCAGCUGAGCCUUGUUCGGUUUGAACUGCUGAUGACAAACCAGGGAGAAGCUUUAGGGUUCUUCCCUGUCCUGAUGGAAAGACAUGGCCUCUCUGGAUGUGCAGCCACCGGACUCGCCCCUCCUGCUUCCCCACUUCAUCAGGCACCGAGUUCCCAGCUCUCCUCCAGCUUCAAUAAUAACAACAACAUCACUGGAAAAACAGCAGGCAGGAAGAUGACACGCAGGAGCCGUGACAAACAGCUAAACAUCUGACUUGGAGUUAUUAGAGUGUCAUCCCCUGGGCAUGUGACAAACCCCAUGUUAUGGAUCCGUGUGCUAGAGGGAGGAACUGGAAAUGGGGUUGGCACAACCCACAGGCUAUCAAAACAAUGUAGUUUUUCUUAACCCAGAGUGUCAGACCAGCUCUGAACACGUACUGUACUGCUGUGCCUGCAGCUCACACAGAGGGACAUUCUGACAGGGAUUUCCCAAGCGCUGCCAGUGCCGUAGCCAUAGAAGCAGGAGAUAAAAAUAUUUGCACAGAACCUGGGGGCAGGGUUUGCAGUCUGUGCUGUACCACACAGCGCUCCUGCCCAACAAUACUGUUCAGCUAAUUGUAGGUCUGGACUCCCCUGGAUAUUUCUUUCAUUAGUACCUCCCGUGGGAUACCUUUACUCCGUUUGUGCCUCCACAGGCUGGCUUUAUCUGUUUUUAAGCCUUUGUUGUGGAUUCAGCAUAUCAAAGCCUGUCUUUGUCAGGACACUUCUACUUUGUACUCUGAAUGGGGAUUAAACUACACAUGGUGUACCUGGAAGCACUUGUGAAUCUGUUCUGCCUGAUGUCCAUCCCUGCCUGGCGUCUCUCCCGUAUCCCUCAAGACUGGUCUGGUGACUUCAGAGCCAGUCUGGACACAUUGGUCUUGGAUGAGGGCACAGGAUUAGUCACUGCCACCAAACAAUGUCUAAUUGUGUGUAUGUUUUCCUUUCCUCCAGAAAAAGACUCUGUGUUGUCUGUGCUGCCUCACUGCUCUAUUUUUCUGCAGUUUCUUAUUUUUCACAAAAAAAGCCACGCGUUCCUCCCAAACUUAUUGUAUAGCCCAGCCUCAGCUGAAGCGGCUUAAACUCCUACAAAUGGUGUCACGAGGAGAUUAAGGAACAUACCUUGUGGCAUAAUGAAAAGCAGCAAAUGACAGCAAAAGGCUUAUCCUGCCUUUUCACAAAACACGUGAUCUUUUUCGACUCUGUCCUCGUUUUUGGAUUACUUCAGAGGAGAGAACUUUGAAUUGUAGCAGAUCUGCCAGCAAGAGCGAACUGUCUCCAGUUACCUGUGCCUGGUCUUUGCUUUCUUACACAACCUUCUAUGUUUAAAUAGAGUAGUCUGCUUCUGCUUUUUGUUUGUUUGUUGUAAUCUGGUGUUUUAUUGGCUCACCUGAAGUCAGUUUAGUAGGAAACAAUCCCUGAGCAAGUGAAGUUAUAUCUAUCAUUAUUGUCACUUCAAAUACUUCAGAUGUCUUGCCUGUAAAAAACCCCUUCAAGGUACCAGCAUAGCACCUGAAAACUAGGAGUGAGACAAGCAAAGAAGGAUGUGAGCAGAUGGGAAGGGACUGGAGAGUUAGACAUGGAAAUCAGCAGGAUUUCCCCGGGGAGUAAACAAGAGCCUUCCAGGAAAUGUUCUGCAGCUUGGGGGACACGUCAUGGGUGAACAGGACUUCAGAGAGCAGCUGAUAAAGAAAGAGACCAGCAUAUUAGGGACAGUGAGAAUUUGGGUGCUUCAGUAAGAAGGGCCAUGCAGGUGUUUCAGAAAGAUGUGAUAUCUGUGUCCUGGGCAUUCAUAUCAAC